GUGAAGAAGAUGGUUUCUCCAUAAGACGCUGCAGCCGUAGCAGACCAACUUGGACACAAAUGAGAUUUUCGCAUUUGUGAAAAAUGCGCAACGCAGGAUGUUUUACUGCUCUAUUGGCGCCGAUGGCCAUUUGGCUAGUGUAACCGGUUCCACAACCCAAUUAAAUUAUUUUGUACCCUGUUUGCCCCGUUCCGUGUAAUUACAUUGUAUUUUUAUUGAUUUCCCUUCACUUGCCCACCCUUGGAAGGCAACAUGCCCAUUCAUGUUAUUGAUCUUGCCUAAUGUUCAUUGCCUAUCGUUCAAGACGAGGGAAAGGAAGAUGAAAUGAUUGCGGAAAAUGUGCCCGAGAUUACUGAGCAAUCACAGCAAACAACCAGGGAUCGCAUCCAUCAGGAUACAACAAUGGUUCUUGCAGAUGACGUUGAAAGUCCAAAUAACAUUUUUUCUACUUGUUCUAUGGAGAGGCCAAUGAGCUGUCCAUUGCCCCACACAGUCUGGCCAGAGAACUAUCAAUAUCAGUACUGAAAACUUCAUUCCUAAGUUGGAUAAUAUCGUUUCAGAUUUCAGAGCGAAUCACAAAACGUACCUUUCAUUGGCGGCGCUUGUCGAAAUACAUUCUGAAUGGCACUGGUCGUUCAGGAACAAGGAAAAAACCAUUGAUGCCACCAAUUCGAAUCCAUCGACUAGAGCGGAUGGGUCACUCCUGAUUUAGACGGUCAGGGUAAAAGACGUUCAGUUGUUGUCGUAUCAUUACCACGGAGAUAUUGUAUCCCCCGAUCGGACUAGCACAAAAUUUCACUUCUUACGAACAUCUCGGAGAAUUGAUGACAGCCUUUGAUGGCACAAAACCUUGUACCGCCAUUACUGAGCGAUCAUGAAUAGAAUUGGAAAAGUCCUCGUCGUCACGAUUGCCGUAUAGAAUGAACAGGGGUUGCUGACAGUAGAACUCCUCUUCAGCAGUCAGUCUUGUGUCAGUCUGGUUUCAGUCGCUUUUCGUUCAUCUUCGAGUCUAUUUGCAGUCUUCGGCAGUAAGUCUCUUUUAAUCGGACUCGUCUUGUUAACUGUUAUCUCGGUCUUUGGCAAAAACGUUGUGCAACAAUAAACCCAUCAUCAUCACACACAACUAUUCCCCAUAUUCAAUAUUAAAAGUAAGAAAACCAUUCCCCAUCCUUACACAAGUAUGUUAUUCCAUGAGAACCAUGCCGCGAGUGGUAACCAAUGGAUCCGUUUCCCUUCACGGAUGGGCAAGUAACUUCAAUCGCGCCACCUUUCCUCCGUACAUGUGAGUAUAAUAGUUCGAAGGCGCUCAGAUUUGAAUCCAUUCGCAGAAGUAUAAAGUCAUGUUUCCUUUUUUCAGAGUUUGAAUGUUGAAUUUCCGUUCAUGGAUUGUAUUUCAAUUUUCAGUGUCCCACACAGCACAUUUGGUUCCCCAGGACCUCCCAAGAUCCUCUUAAUUUCCUCCUCAGUCUUACUUGUGAGCUUCCUAAAUUCCUCUAAAAACCAUCUUUUUGGUUACCUGGUGGCUUCCUGAUAACCUCCUCAGUACCUUUCUCACCUUCCCGAGGAUCUCCCCACAACCUCCAAUAAUGAAACAAAUUAACCAUAUAUAUACCGGCUAGUAUUCCGUACCCAGUUCCGGUUUUCAGCAAUAAUUGUUAUGAUAAAAUGAAUACAUAUAAACAAAACACA